rnacentral:rRNA from 1 species
GACGAACGCUGGCGGCGUGCUUAACACAUGCAAGUCGAACGGUGAAGCACCUUCCUUUUGGUGGGUGUGGAUGAGUGGCGAACGGGUGAGUAACACGUGAGUAACCUGCCCCCUUCUUCUGGAUAACCGCAUGAAAGUGUGGCUAAUACGGGAUAUUCUGCGCCUGCUGCAUGGUGGGUGUGGGAAAGAUAUUGUUUCGGUGGGGGAUGGGCUCGCGGCCUAUCAGCUUGUUGGUGGGGUGAUGGCCUACCAAGGCGGUGACGGGUAGCCGGCCUGAGAGGGUGGACGGUCACACUGGGACUGAGACACGGCCCAGACUCCUACGGGAGGCAGCAGUGGGGAAUAUUGCACAAUGGGCGCAAGCCUGAUGCAGCGACGCCGCGUGAGGGAUGGAGGCCUUCGGGUUGUAAACCUCUUUCGCCAGUGAAGCAGGCCUGUCCCU